rnacentral:misc_RNA from 1 species
UAAAGUGCGAUAUCUAAUGUGAUUUGCAUGAAUCUGUGAGUCAUCAAGUUUUUGAACGCAACUUGCACCUCUUGGGCCAACUAAGAGGUAUGUCUGUUUGAGUACCUAAUCUCCUCUUGUCUCUAGCUAGAGACAGACUUGGAGUCGCAGCGUCUUAGGACGGUGGACUCUGAAAUGCAGCAAGCUAAAGGUGACAGCAGCCUUGGCUAUGUGCUAGAGACCAGUCGGUCUUGUCAUAGCGGAGGUUGGUUGUGACUUUGCUGGGUUGGGUUUAACUUGACUCUAAUUUUGAUUAUAGGUCUCAAAUCAGACAAGACUACCCGCUGAACUUAA